CUGUAAGCCUGCGAAGGUGGCCUGUGAGGGUUGCUGGAGGUAUCAGAAGUGCGAAUGCUGACAUAAGUAACGAUAAAGCGGGUGAAAAGCCCGCUCGCCGGAAGACCAAGGGUUCCUGUCCAACGUUAAUCGGGGCAGGGUGAGUCGACCCCUAAGGCGAGGCCGAAAGGCGUAGUCGAUGGGAAACGGGUUAAUAUUCCCGUACUUGGUGUUACUGCGAAGGGGGGACGGAGAAGGCUAUGUUGGCCGGGCGACGGUUGUCCCGGUUUAAGCGUGUAGGUGUGUGUUCCAGGUAAAU
rnacentral:rRNA from 1 species